rnacentral:rRNA from 1 species
GCGAUGAAGGACGUGCUAAUCUGCGAAAAGCGUCGGUAAGGUGAUAUGAACCGUUAUAACCGGCGAUGUCCGAAUGGGGAAACCCAGUGCAAUUCGUUGCACUAUCGUUAACUGAAUACAUAGGUUAACGAGGCGAACCGGGGGAACUGAAACAUCUAAGUACCCCGAGGAAAAGAAAUCAACCGAGAUUCCCCCAGUAGCGGCGAGCGAACGGGGAGCAGCCCAGAGUCUGAAUCAGCUUGUGUGUUAGUGGAACGGUCUGGAAAGUCCGACGGUACAGGGUGAUAGUCCCGUACACCAAAAUGCACAGGUUGUGAACUCGAAGAGUAGGGCGGGACACGUGGUAUCCUGUCUGAAUAUGGGGGGACCAUCCUCCAAGGCUAAAUACUCCUGACUGACCGAUAGUGAACCAGUACCGUGAGGGAAAGGCGAAAAGAACCCCGGCGAGGGGAGUGAAAAAGAACCUGAAACCGUGUACGUACAAGCAGUGGGAGCACCUUCGGGUGUGACUGCGUACCUUUUGUAUAAUGGGUCAGCGACUUAUAUUCUGUAGCAAGGUUAACCGUAUAGGGGAGCCGCAGGGAAACCGAGUCUUAACUGGGCGUUAAGUUGCAGGGUAUAGACCCGAAACCCGGUGAUCUAGCCAUGGGCAGGUUGAAGGUUGGGUAACACUAACUGGAGGACCGAACCGACUAAUGUUGAAAAAUUAGCGGAUGACUUGUGGCUGGGGGUGAAAGGCCAAUCAAACCGGGAGAUAGCUGGUUCUCCCCGAAAGCUAUUUAGGUAGCGCCUCGUGAAUUCAUCUUCGGGGGUAGAGCACUGUUUCGGCUAGGGGGUCAUCCCGACUUACCAACCCGAUGCAAACUACGAAUACCGAAGAAUGUUAUCACGGGAGACACACGGCGGGUGCUAACGUCCGUCGUGAAGAGGGAAACAACCCAGACCGCCAGCUAAGGUCCCAAAGUCAUGGUUAAGUGGGAAACGAUGUGGGAAGGCACAGACAGCCAGGAUGUUGGCUUAGAAGCAGCCAUCAUUUAAAGAAAGCGUAAUAGCUCACUGGUCGAGUCGGCCUGCGCGGAAGAUGUAACGGGGCUAAACCAUGCACCGAAGCUGCGGCAGCGACACUAUGUGUUGUUGGGUAGGGGAGCGUUCUGUAAGCCUGCGAAGGUGACCUGUGAGGGUUGCUGGAGGUAUCAGAAGUGCGAAUGCUGACAUAAGUAACGAUAAAGCGGGUGAAAAGCCCGCUCGCCGGAAGACCAAGGGUUCCUGUCCAACGUUAAUCGGGGCAGGGUGAGUCGACCCCUAAGGCGAGGCCGAAAGGCGUAGUCGAUGGGAAACAGGUUAAUAUUCCUGUACUUGGUGUUACUGCGAAGGGGGGACGGAGAAGGCUAUGUUAGCCGGGCGACGGUUGUCCCGGUUUAAGCAUGUAGGCUGGUUAUCCAGGCAAAUCCGGAUAAUCAAGGCUGAGGUGUGAUGACGAGGCACUACGGUGCUGAAGUAACAAAUGCCCUGCUUCCAGGAAAAGCCUCUAAGCAUCAGGUAACAUCAAAUCGUACCCCAAACCGACACAGGUGGUCAGGUAGAGAAUACCAAGGCGCUUGAGAGAACUCGGGUGAAGGAACUAGGCAAAAUGGUGCCGUAACUUCGGGAGAAGGCACGCUGGUGUGUAGGUGAAGCCCCUGCGGGUGGAGCUGAGACCAGUCGAAGAUACCAGCUGGCUGCAACUGUUUAUUAAAAACACAGCACUGUGCAAACACGAAAGUGGACGUAUACGGUGUGACGCCUGCCCGGUGCCGGAAGGUUAAUUGAUGGGGUUAUCCGUAAGGAGAAGCUCUUGAUCGAAGCCCCGGUAAACGGCGGCCGUAACUAUAACGGUCCUAAGGUAGCGAAAUUCCUUGUCGGGUAAGUUCCGACCUGCACGAAUGGCGUAAUGAUGGCCAGGCUGUCUCCACCCGAGACUCAGUGAAAUUGAACUCGCUGUGAAGAUGCAGUGUACCCGCGGCAAGACGGAAAGACCCCGUGAACCUUUACUAUAGCUUGACACUGAACAUUGAGCCUUGAUGUGUAGGAUAGGUGGGAGGCUUUGAAGCGUGGACGCCAGUCUGCGUGGAGCCAACCUUGAAAUACCACCCUUUAAUGUUUGAUGUUCUAACGUUGGCCCCUGACCGGGGUUGCGGACAGUGUCUGGUGGGUAGUUUGACUGGGGCGGUCUCCUCCCAAAGCGUAACGGAGGAGCACGAAGGUUAGCUAAUCCUGGUCGGACAUCAGGAGGUUAGUGCAAUGGCAUAAGCUAGCUUGACUGCGAGCGUGACGGCGCGAGCAGGUGCGAAAGCAGGUCAUAGUGAUCCGGUGGUUCUGAAUGGAAGGGCCAUCGCUCAACGGAUAAAAGGUACUCCGGGGAUAACAGGCUGAUACCGCCCAAGAGUUCAUAUCGACGGCGGUGUUUGGCACCUCGAUGUCGGCUCAUCACAUCCUGGGGCUGAAGUAGGUCCCAAGGGUAUGGCUGUUCGCCAUUUAAAGUGGUACGCGAGCUGGGUUUAGAACGUCGUGAGACAGUUCGGUCCCUAUCUGCCGUGGGCGCUGGAGAAUUGAGGGGGGCUGCUCCUAGUACGAGAGGACCGGAGUGGACGCAUCACUGGUGUUCGGGUUGUCAUGCCAAUGGCACUGCCCGGUAGCUAAAUGCGGAAGAGAUAAGUGCUGAAAGCAUCUAAGCACGAAACUUGCCCCGAGAUGAGUUCUCCCUGAGACUUUAAGUCUCCUGAAGGAACGUUGAAGACGACGACGUUGAUAGGCCGGGUGUGUAAGCGCAGCGAUGCGUUGAGCUAACCGGUACUAAUGAACCGUGAGGCUUAACCUUACAACGCCGAAG